UAAGUUAGUGUUAGAAGAAAAAUGACCAUCGUUGGCUUCAAGAUAAUGCUCAGCCACAUACAGUGAGGAUGACAUUCCAAAGGGCUAGAGGAGUUCGAUGGGAAACAAUGCCCCACCCACCAUAUGCGCUGGACAUUGCCCC